rnacentral:rRNA from 1 species
GAUGAACGCUAGCUACAGGCUUAACACAUGCAAGUCGAGGGGAAACGGCAUCGAAAGCUUGCUUUUGAUGGGCGUCGACCGGCGCACGGGUGAGUAACGCGUAUCCAACCUGCCCAUCACUUGGGAAUAACCUUGCGAAAGUAAGACUAAUGCCCAAUGACAUCCCACGAAGGCAUCCGAAUGGGAUUAAAGAUUUAUCGGUGAUGGAUGGGGAUGCGUCUGAUUAGCUUGUUGGCGGGGUGACGGCCCACCAAGGCAACGAUCAGUAGGGGUUCUGAGAGGAAGGUCCCCCACAUUGGAACUGAGACACGGUCCAAACUCCUACGGGAGGCAGCAGUGAGGAAGAUUGGUCAAUGGGCGAGAGCCUGAACCAGCCAAGUAGCGUGCAGGAUGACGGCCCUAUGGGUUGUAAACUGCUUUUAGAAGGGAAUAAAGUGGGUCACGUGUGACUUUUUGCAUGUACCUUAUGAAUAAGGACCGGCUAAUUCCGUG